UUAAGGUUAGUUAAAGCUUAUAAUAUCAAGUUGUCAGCUUGAGGUAACUAGAGUUGUUUAGUACCUUAAU
rnacentral:tRNA from 1 species